rnacentral:rRNA from 1 species
GCUAGUCUUUGUAGUAAUACAAGGCAUACGGCUCAGUAACGCGUAGUCAACCUACCCUAUGGACGGGGAUAAUCUCGGGAAACUGAGCAUAAUACCCGGCAGACCACUUAUCCUGGAAUGGUUAGUGGUUAAAAUGAUUCGUCGCCAUAGGAUGGGACUGCGGCCUAUCAGCUUGUUGGUGAGGUAAUAGCCCACCAAGGCGAUUACAGGUACGGGCUCUGAGAGGAGAGGCCCGGAGAUGGGUACUGAGACAAGGACCCAGGCCCUAUGGGGCGCAGCAGGCGAGAAAACUUUGCAAUGUGCGAAAGCACGACAAGGUUAAUCCGAGUGAUUUCUGCUAAAGGAAUCUUUUGUUAGUUCUAAAAAUACUAGUGAAUAAGGGGUGGGCAAGUUCUGGUGUCAGCCGCCGCGGUAAAACCAGCACCUCAAGUGGUCAGGAGGAUUAUUGGGCCUAAAGCAUCCGUAGCCUGUUCUAUAAGUUUGCGGUUAAAUCUAUACGCUCAACGUAUAGGCUGCCGUAAAUACUGUAGAACUAGGGAGUGGGAGAGGUAGACGG